GGAGCUUGCUCUUUCCGGAUGAGUUGCGAACGGGUGAGUAACGCGUAGGUAACCUGCCUGGUAGCGGGGGAUAACUAUUGGAAACGAUAGCUAAUACCGCAUAACAGUAGAUAUUGCAUGAUAUCUGCUUGAAAGGUGCAAAUGCAUCACUACCAGAUGGACCUGCGUUGUAUUAGCUAGUUGGUGAGGUAACGGCUCACCAAGGCGACGAUACAUAGCCGACCUGAGAGGGUGAUCGACCACACUGGGACUGAGACACGGCCCAGACUCCUACGGGAGGCAGCAGUAGGGAAUCUUCGGCAAUGGGGGGAACCCUGACCGAGCAACGCCGCGUGAGUGAAGAAGGUUUUCGGAUCGUAAAGCUCUGUUGUAAGAGAAGAACGAGUGUGAGAGUGGAAAGUUCACACUGUGACGGUAUCUUACCAGAAAGGGACGGCUAACUACGUGCCAGCAGCCGCGGUAAUACGUAGGUCCCGAGCGUUAUCCGGAUUUAUUGGGCGUAAAGCGAGCGCAGGCGGUUAGAUAAGUCUGAAGUUAAAGGCUGUGGCUUA
rnacentral:rRNA from 1 species